CACCGCUUGAGACUCUUCCAUUGCCCUCUUGAAAGUUUCUUUCCACCUCCGCUCCCACUGAGGUCAAGGAAAAAAGAAAUGAAUGGAGGGCUCACGGGAGCCGCCGCUCGGCGGUCGCUGCGCGGCCUUGAAUUUUUAUUGGCAGGAAGGGGCGAAGGCGCUUUAUGGGGGACCGCAAAUCUGGGCCUUUCCCCUCAAUGAAAGCCCACUGUCAAUAUCCGCCUCAUUCCUCUCAAAGAGCCCCGUCCGUCCGCAGCGCCUCGGCUCGCGCGCUGACCUUUGACCCUCACGCACGAGACUGUCAUUUUUCCGAGCCGGGACCGAGGAUUUCAUCCGACUGCGAUUGUCGCAAAUGCUUUUGCCCAGAACCAUCCGACCACCAUUUCUGAUGAGUGCCACGGAGAAAGCGGCGGGUGCCCCAAAUGUUUUGGCGGUCCCGCCUGAAAAUUCUUUUGGCUUGCCGCCGUUUCCGAUUUUCUUUUGCCGGGAUACCGAUGACAGUUGCGCUCGCGAUCGUUGUCAUUGGAAAUUUUCAGACCGCUUCAUCUCAAAAGAAUGCGCGGCACCUCCAUUUGUCUCGUUCGCCGACGAGCUGUUCUUCAUCCUCGUUACAAAGUCACGGCUGGACUCAUCAACUCCAUUUAA